rnacentral:lncRNA from 1 species
UUCUAUUCCCUUUUCCCGAUUAUUAGGAUACGAGUUGUCUUACUCGACUAUCCGAGUAAUCCUCAUCCAACCAAAAUAUCUCAACACACCAGAUUUAUCUGUCCUCGCCCUCGUGCGAUCGAAACCAGUUAAACAAAACAUACAACAUAUUAAUCUAACUUGUCACCCCCGUGUGACUGAAACUCUUUUAAAAAAGAACACUAUUUAAUCCUUUCUAAUGCGCACAACAAACUAGCGCUUAAGCCUCCGCCGAGAGUAGACAAGCCAACGUUUAGCCUUUAGGAUACGAUCUAAACAGUUUGUUCAUUAAAAAACACCAACCAACCGUAGUUCCCCGAACUACGAAUGCUCUGAUUUCCUUAUUAUACCAUAAGGAUACGUAGGCAGGAGAUUGUUGUAUCUUCGCGAGCACACUAAUAAAAAACCUCCCCUUUCUCCUUUCUGAGGUUCUCAUCCAUUUCUAUUUUAAUAAUUUUAUAACUUAAAGAUAACAAACAAACAUAAAUUAACACUAGAAACACACAUUAGAACUAAAAGGUUCCCGUUGAGUACAACGGACGUAAGGGGUGCUAAUACCUUCCCCUUACGUAAUCCACUCCCGAACCCGAAUAUGGUUGCGACGACCAUUUUUCUAUU